rnacentral:rRNA from 1 species
ACCCCACUAUGCCUAGCCUUAAACACUGAUCAAACUACAUUAUUACAUCCGCCCGGGAACUACGAGCCGAAGCUUAAAACCCAAAGGACUUGGCGGUGCCCCAAACCCACCUAGAGGAGCCUGUUCUAUAAUCGAUACCCCCCGCUUAACCUCACCCCUCCUCGCCAGCAGCCUAUAUACCACCGUCGCCAGCCCACCUCAUGAGAGAAAGCAAGUAGGCACAAUGGUAGCCACCAAAACGUCAGGUCAAGGUGUAGCUCAUGGAGCGGAAAGAAAUGGGCUACACUUUCUACACAGAAGAUACGAAAGACCACUAUGAAACCUGGUCUGAAGGCGGAUUUAGUAGUAAAAAGAUUCAAGAGUGUUCUUUUUAAUCCGGCCCUGGGGCGCGCACACACCGCCCG